GGGCGCUUAGCUCAGUUGGUAGAGCAUCUGGUUUACACCCAGGAGGCCCAAGGUUCGAACCCUUGAGCGCCCA
rnacentral:tRNA from 1 species